GACGAACGCUGGCGGCGGGCUUAACACAUGCGAGUCGAACGGAAAGGCCCGGCUUUUGUGGGGUGCUCGAGUGGCGAACGGGUGAGUAACACGUGAGUAACCUGCCCUUGACUUUGGGAUAACUUCAGGAAACUGGGGCUAAUACCGGAUAGGAGCGCCUGCUGCAUGGUGGGGGUUGGAAAGUUUCGGCGGUUGGGGAUGGACUCGCGGCUUAUCAGCUUGUUGGUGGGGUAGUGGCUUACCAAGGCUUUGACGGGUAGCCGGCCUGAGAGGGUGACCGGCCACAUUGGGACUGAGAUACGGCCCAGACUCCUACGGGAGGCAGCAGUGGGGAAUAUUGCACAAUGGGCGGAAGCCUGAUGCAGCAACGCCGCGUGCGGGAUGACGGCCUUCGGGUUGUAAACCGCUUUCGCCUGUGACGAAGCGUGAGUGACGGUAAUGGGUAAAGAAGCACCGGCUAACUACGUG
rnacentral:rRNA from 1 species